GGUUUUAACCCAUAUAACCAAG
rnacentral:misc_RNA from 1 species